UGAGGAAUAUUGGACAAUGGAGGCAACUCUGAUCCAGCCAUGCCGCGUGCAGGAAGACUGCCCUAUGGGUUGUAAACUGCUUUUAUACAGGAAGAAACUGCGCUACGUGUAGCGUACUGACGGUACUGUAAGAAUAAGGAUCGGCUAACUCCGUGCCAGCAGCCGCGGUAAUACGGAGGAUCCAAGCGUUAUCCGGAAUCAUUGGGUUUAAAGGGUCCGUAGGUGGUCCAUUAAGUCAGAGGUGAAAGCCUAUCGCUCAACGAUAGAACUGCCUUUGAUACUGAUAGACUUGAGUUAUUGUGAAGUAGUUAGAAUAUGUAGUGUAGCGGUGAAAUGCAUAGAUAUUACAU
rnacentral:rRNA from 1 species